AUGGAAGGUGGAGCGAAAGAGAUGAAGAAGGAGGUUCAGAAAGGGGAAGUGAAUGUGAAAGAGCCUGGUGAUGUAUCAGGACUGGAAAACAUGGUGCAACUUGGUUCCGAUGGUGCUCGUUUUCUGACAUAUCUGCGGUCUUCCCCUCCCAAUACACAUUUUUCCAGUUUUAUGAUAAAUGCUGCUUUUUUUUUCCUUUUAGGUUCAGAUUAA